rnacentral:rRNA from 1 species
AGUCACGUCUGGUUCGCCAGGCGGCAGACUUCUUAGAGGGACUAUUAGCGACUAUCAGCUAAUUGAAGUAUGAGGCAAUAACAGGUCUGUGAUGCCCUUAGAUGUUCUGGGCCGCACGCGCGCUACACUGACGCGUUCAACGAGCCUCCUGGUCACGAGAGGACCGGGUAAUCUUGUAAACCGCGUCGUGAUGGGGCUAGAGCUUUGUAAUUAUUGCUCUUUAACGAGGAAUGCCUAGUAAGCGCGAGUCAUCAGCUCGCGU